rnacentral:rRNA from 1 species
UGGGGGAUAUUGCACAAUGGGCGAAAGCCUGAUGCAGCGACGCCGCGUGGGGGAUGAAGGCCUUCGGGUUGUAAACUUCUUUUGCUCUGAACAAGGCGCACCAUGGGGUGUGUUGAGUGUAGGGGUUGAUUAGCGCCGGCUAACUACGUGCCAGCAGCCGCGGUAAUACGUAGGGCGCGAGCGUUGUCCGGAAUUAUUGGGCGUAAAGGGCUUGUAGGUGGCUGGUUGCGUCUGUCGUGAAAGCUCAUGGCUUAACUGUGGGUUUGCGGUGGGUACGGGCUGGCUUGAGUGCAGUAGGGGAGGCUGGAAUUCCUGGUGUAGCGGUGGAAUGCGCAGCUAUCAGGAGGAAUACCGGUGGCGAAGGCAGGUCUCUGGGCUGUUACUGACACUGAGGAGCGAAAGCAUGGGGAGCGAACAGG